AUGCAGAGAGUUCAGGAUAGGCUGACAAUGAGAAAGUCAGCUUUUGACCAUAUUGGGGUGCCAGCCAGGACGACGAGGGGAUUGGGAAGUUUGAAUUCCCCUGCCCCCAACCCGGCCUCCAAUGGGGCUGAGCGGGAUUUGCCGAGGGAUGCGCAACAGGUGGGGCCAGCUGAGGGAGAUGCACCAAUCAUUGAGGGUGCCACCGAGUCAAUCCGCGCUGAGGAGACAGGUAUGGACAAAAGUGUGGAGGCCGAGAUUGAGCUGGUGGGGACACAACAGAGGGCGGUGGAGCCCAUGUCGCUGGUUUGUGCGGAUUCGCCCUGCAUCGCGGAGCGCUAG
rnacentral:rRNA from 1 species